UACGAAGGGGGCUAGCGUUGCUCGGAAUCACUGGGCGUAAAGCGCACGUAGGCGGCUUUUUAAGUCAGGGGUGAAAUCCCAGGGCUCAACCCUGGAACUGCCUUUGAUACUGACGAUCUGGAGAUCGGGAGAGGUUGGUGGAAUUCCGAGUGUAGAGGUGAAAUUCGUAGAUAUUCGGAGGAACACCAGAAGCGAAGGCGGCCAACUGGCCCGAUACUGACGCUGAGGCGCGAAAGCGUGGGGAGCAAACAGG
rnacentral:rRNA from 1 species